rnacentral:tRNA from 1 species
GGGAUGGGGGGCAGAGCGUUUGAAUGCACUGGUCUUGAAAACCAGCAAGGGGCAACUCCUUCGUGGGUUCGAAUCCCACCCAUCCGGCCA